rnacentral:rRNA from 1 species
UACAGAGGGUGCGAGCGUUGUUCGGAAUUAUUGGGCGUAAAGGGCGCGUAGGCGGUGCGGUAAGUCACCUGUGAAAUCUCCUGGCUCAACUGGGAGCUUGCAGGCGAAAACUGGCGAGCUUGAGUACGAAAGAGGAUCGCGGAAUUCCCGGUGUAGAGGUGAAAUUCGUAGAUAUCGGGAGGAACACCGGUGGCGAAGGCGGCGAUCUGGGUCGAUACUGACGCUGAGGUGCGAAAGCGUGGGGAGCAAACAGG